rnacentral:rRNA from 1 species
UACGUAGGGUGCAAGCGUUAAUCGGAAUUACUGGGCGUAAAGCGUGCGCAGGCGGUUGUGCAAGACAGAUGCGAAAUCCCCGGGCUUAACCUGGGAAUGGCAUUUGUGACUGCACGGCUAGAGUGUGUCAGAGGGGGGUAGAAUUCCACGUGUAGCAGUGAAAUGCGUAGAUAUGUGGAGGAAUACCGAUGGCGAAGGCAGCCCCCUGGGAUAACACUGACGCUCAUGCACGAAAGCGUGGGGAGCAAACAGG